rnacentral:rRNA from 1 species
AAUAGAUACCCGGGUAGUCCACGCCGUAAACGUUGGGCGCUGGAUGUGGGGACCAUUCCACGGUUUCCGUGUCGCAGCUAACGCAUUAAGCGCCCCGCCUGGGGAGUACGGCCGCAAGGCUAAAACUCAAAGGAAUUGACGGGGGCCCGCACAAGCGGCGGAGCAUGCGGAUUAAUUCGAUGCAACGCGAAGAACCUUACCAAGGCUUGACAUAUACGAGAACGCUCUAGAAAUAGAGAACUCUUUGGACACUCGUAUACAGGUGGUGCAUGGUUGUCGUCAGCUCGUGUCGUGAGAUGUUGGGUUAAGUCCCGCAACGAGCGCAACCCUCGUUCUAUGUUGCCAGCGGUUCGGCCGGGAACUCAUAGGAGACUGCCGGGGUCAACUCGGAGGAAGGUGGGGAUGACGUCAAAUCAUCAUGCCCCUUAUGUCUUGGGCCUCACGCAUGCUACAAUGGCCGGUACAAAGGGCUGCAAUACCGUAAGGUGGAGCGAAUCCCAAAAAGCCGGUCUCAGUUCGGAUUGAGGUCUGCAACUCGACCU